CCCUUAGAUGUUCUGGGCCGCACGCGCGCUACACUGAUGCAUUCAACAAGCCUAGCCUUGACCGAGAGGUCCGGGUAAUCUUUGAAACUGCAUCGUGAUGGGGCUAGAUUAUUGCAAUUAUUAAUCUUCAACGAGGAAUGCCUAGUAAGCGUGAUUCAUCAAAUCGCGUUGAUUACGUCCCUGCCCUUUGUACACACCGCCCGUCGCGCCUACCGAUUGAAUGUGUUGGUGAGGAGCUCGGAUUGGCAGCAGUUGGUGGUUCGCCACCGGCUAUUGCUGAGAAGUCCUCCAAACCGCCCCAUUUAGAGGAAGGAGAAGUCGUAACA
rnacentral:rRNA from 1 species